GGCCCCCAUCCAGAAGGCAGCAGGCGCGAAAAUUACCCACUUCCGGCGCGGAGAGGUAGUGACUAGUCAUAACAAAUAUAGACCCUAGUGGUCUGUAUUUGGACUGGUGAGAUGUUAUAAAUAUCUCAGUAAUCUAGAUCAGGGCAAGUCUGGUGCCAGCAGCCGCGGUAAUACCAACCUGAUCAAGCGUAUGCUUUAGUUGCUGCGUUUAAAAAGCUCAUAGUUGGAUCUUCGAGAGCGUGAUCAUCAAAGGGCGUAGUUCGGUUACGGUCGUUCUAUUCCUGGUCACGGACUUUCAAUAUACUUGGAAGACAGUUUAUUCUUAACUGAAUAGACUGAUCGGAAACAAGUGGUAAACCUUGAAAAAAUUAGAGUGCUCAAAGCAAGCUUUGGCCUUGAAUUUUAAAGCAUGGAAUUGAGGAAGAGGACCAUUAUGGUCGUGAACCAUUUUGGUAAUGAUUAAAAGGAACAGACGGGGGCAUACGUAUUGCUCGGGGAGGGGUGAAAUCCGUAGAUCCCAGCAAGACGACCUACUGCGAAAGCAUUUGCCAAGAAUGUUUUCAUUAAUCAAGAACGAAAGUUAGAGUAUUAAAGAGGAUUAGAUACCCUCGUAAUUCUAACCUUAAACGAUACCAUCUUAAUCUUGGCCAAUGUAAUUUAUUACUUGGUUAGGAUUAAACCGGGAAACCAAAGCCAUUUGGUUCC
rnacentral:rRNA from 1 species